rnacentral:rRNA from 1 species
UACGUAGGGGGCAAGCGUUGUCCGGAAUCAUUGGGCGUAAAGAGCGCGUAGGCGGUCCGGUAAGUCCGCUCUGAAAGUCCGGGGCUCAACCCCGGGAGGCGGGCGGAUACUGUCGGGCUAGAGUCCGGAAGAGGCGAGUGGAAUUCCUGGUGUAGCGGUGAAAUGCGCAGAUAUCAGGAGGAACACCAAUGGCGAAGGCAGCUCGCUGGGACGGUACUGACGCUGAGGCGCGAAAGCAUGGGGAGCGAACGGG